rnacentral:rRNA from 1 species
CCUACGGGAGGCAGCAGUGGGGGAUAUUGCACAAUGGGGGAAACCCUGAUGCAGCGACGCCGCGUGAGGGAAGAAGUAUUUCGGUAUUUAAAGCUCCAUCAGCAGGGAAGAAAAUGACAGGACCUGACCAAGAAGCCGCGUCUAACUACGUGACAGCAGCCGAGGUUAAACGUAGGGGGCAAGCGUUAUCCGGAUUUAGUGGGUGUAAAGGGGGCGUAGACGGUUAUGUAAGUCUGGAGGUAAAGCCCCGGGGCUAACCCCGGGACUGCUUUGGAAACUGUGUAACUAGAGUACAGGAGGGGCAGGCGGAAUUCGUGGUGUAGCGGUGAAAUGCAUAGAUAUCAGGAGGAACACCGACGGCGAAGGCGGCAUGCUGGACUGAAACUGACGUUGAGGCUCGAAAGCGUGGGGAGCGAACAGGAUUAGAUACCCGAGUAGUC